rnacentral:rRNA from 1 species
UACGAAGGGGGCUAGCGUUGCUCGGAAUCACUGGGCGUAAAGCGCACGUAGGCGGGUCGUUAAGUCAGGGGUGAAAUCCUGGAGCUCAACUCCAGAACUGCCCUUGAUACUGGCGAUCUCGAGUCCGGGAGAGGUGAGUGGAACUGCGAGUGUAGAGGUGAAAUUCGUAGAUAUUCGCAAGAACACCAGUGGCGAAGGCGGCUCACUGGCCCGGUACUGACGCUGAGGUGCGAAAGCGUGGGGAGCAAACAGG